UACGUAGGGGGCAAGCGUUGUCCGGAAUCAUUGGGCGUAAAGCGCGUGUAGGCGGCCCGGUAAGUCCGCUGUGAAAGUCGGGGGCUCAACCCUCGAAUGCCGGUGGAUACUGUCGGGCUAGAGUGCGGAAGAGGCGAGUGGAAUUCCUGGUGUAGCGGUGAAAUGCGCAGAUAUCAGGGGGAACACCAAUUGCGAAGGCAGCUCGCUGGGACGUGACUGACGCUGAGACGCGAAAGCGUGGGGAGCAAACAGG
rnacentral:rRNA from 1 species